ACCUAGGCAACCGAACCAAAACAUGAUGUUCCCAUAAUAAAUGUAAUAUUCGUUUAUGCAUUAGAAAACG
rnacentral:tRNA from 1 species